rnacentral:rRNA from 1 species
UACAGAGACUGCGAGCGUUAUUCGGAUUCACUGGGCGUAAAGGGUGCGCAGGCGGCCAAGUGUGUUAGGCGUGAAAGCCUGGGGCUUAACCUCAGAAUUGCACCUAAAACUACAUGGCUAGAGUAUUGGAGAGGGUAGCGGAAUUCACGGUGUAGCAGUGAAAUGCGUAGAUAUCGUGAGGAACACCAGAGGCGAAGGCGGCUACCUGGACAAUUACUGACGCUCAUGCACGAAAGCCUGGGGAGCAAAAGGG